rnacentral:rRNA from 1 species
GACGAACGCUGGCGGCGUGCUUAACACAUGCAAGUCGAACGAAGAGCGACGGAAGCUUGCUUCUAUCAAUCUUAGUGGCGAACGGGUGAGUAACGCGUAAUCAACCUGCCCUUCAGAGGGGGACAACAGUUGGAAACGACUGCUAAUACCGCAUACGAUCUAACCUCGGCAUCGAGGAUAGAUGAAAGGUGGCCUCUACAUGUAAGCUAUCACUGCAGGAGGGGAUUGCGUCUGAUUAGCUAGUUGGAGGGGUAACGGCCCACCAAGGCGAUGAUCAGUAGCCGGUCUGAGAGGAUGAACGGCCACAUUGGGACUGAGACACGGCACAGACUCCUACGGGAGGCAGCAGUGGGGAAUCGUCCGCAAUGGACGAAAGUCUGACGGAGCAACGCCGCGUGAGUGAUGACGGCCUUCGGGUUGUAAAGCUCGGUUAAUCGGGACGAAAGGCCUUCUUGCGAAUAGUGAGAAGGAUUGACGGUACCGGAAUAGAAAGCCACGGCUAACUACGUG